UACGGAGGGUGCGAGCGUUAAUCGGAAUCACUGGGCGUAAAGCGCGCGUAGGCGGCUUUUCAAGUCAGGGGUGAAAUCCCACGGCCCAACCGUGGAACUGCCUUUGAAACUGUAGAGCUUGAGUGUCGGAGAGGGUGGCGGAAUUCCAGGUGUAGGAGUGAAAUCCGUAGGUAUCUGGAGGAACACCGGUGGCGAAGGCGGCCACCUGGACGACAACUGACGCUGAGGUGCGAAAGCGUGGGUAGCAAACAGG
rnacentral:rRNA from 1 species